rnacentral:rRNA from 1 species
ACGAACGCUGGCGGCGUGCCUAAUACAUGCAAGUCGAACGGCUUUUCUAUGGAAGCUUGCUUCCACUGAGAAGAUAGUGGCGAACGGGUGAGUAACACGUGGGUAACCUGCCCAUAAGAGGGGGGAUAACAUCCGGAAACGGGUGCUAAUACCGCAUAGUUUUCUUGAUCGCAUGAUCGGGAAAGGAAAGACGGCCUUUGUGCUGUCGCUUAUGGAUGGACCCGCGGCGUAUUAGUUAGUUGGUGAGGUAACGGCUCACCAAGACGAUGAUACGUAGCCGACCUGAGAGGGUGAUCGGCCACAUUGGGACUGAGACACGGCCCAAACUCCUACGGGAGGCAGCAGUAGGGAAUCUUCCGCAAUGGACGAAAGUCUGACGGAGCAACGCCGCGUGAGUGAAGAAGGUUUUCGGGAAUCGUAAAACUCUGUUGUCAGAGAAGAACAAGUUGGAGAGUAACUGCUCCAGCCUUGACGGUAUCUGACCAGAAAGCCACGGCUAACUACGUGCCAGCAGCUGC